rnacentral:hammerhead_ribozyme from 1 species
AUUCAGCUGACGAGUCCCGCAUAGGACGAAAUGUGCAUCCCAGAU